UUUUGAGGGUCCUGCACAAGUGACAAGUUAAAGGUGUGACCAUUUCCCAGCUCAAGCAGCAAAUAUUUGCAGAAGCCUUUGGCAAAUUCUUCACAUGUGCAUGACGCAGAUGUACUAGUAUAUUUGGCUGUGACUCGGAGAAGAGCUGGUUAACGCCUGUCCCCUGGGCAGAGACAUGAGGAGGACUGAUGGCAGGAGAUGUAAUGUAGGGUGACAGGUUGCCUGGCUUGUCUGAAGGAGGCCAGAUUAGGACCUCACAUUCUUCCAACUUUCGUGGUUGAAUUGCAUUCUUUGCCAUUUUACGGCUGGUUGAGGAAGAAGAAGGAGAAGCUGGCUACAUUUACCAGAGGCUACGUGGUAGUAUUGCCCUCUCUGGUGGAGACUUGCAUCAGGUUUUUUUCCCAUUGUGCAACUUCACGCCUGUGUAGCAUGAUCUGUGCGCACUUGACUGCUGACUGUCAUCAGAUAUACCAGGCAC
ensembl:lncRNA